rnacentral:rRNA from 1 species
UACGGAGGGAGCUAGCGUUAUUCGGAAUUACUGGGCGUAAAGCGCACGUAGGCGGCUUUGUAAGUUAGAGGUGAAAGCCUGGAGCUCAACUCCAGAAUUGCCUUUAAGACUGCAUCGCUUGAAUCCAGGAGAGGUGAGUGGAAUUCCGAGUGUAGAGGUGAAAUUCGUAGAUAUUCGGAAGAACACCAGUGGCGAAGGCGACUGACUGGACAAGUAUUGACGCUGAGGUGCGAAAGCGUGGGGAGCAAACAGGG